GGGAUUAUAGUUUAACUGGUAAAACAUAGAUUUUGCAUAUCUAUAACAUGGGUUCAAUUCCCAUUGGUUCCA
rnacentral:tRNA from 1 species